CACCAGGUUGAUUCUGCCUGACGAGGAUGCUUGUCUCUGGGAUUAAGCCAUGCAAGUCUGGUGAAGCGAAAGUGGAACUGCGAACGGCUCAGUAGAACGGUGAUUAUUUAAUCGUGUAGGAAGGAUAACCGCGGGAAACUGUGGCUAAUAACACGAGUAAGACGCCGACCCAUCAGUUUUAUCGUACGGUAAGGGCGUACGAUGGCUUUAACGGGUACGGGGGAUCAGGGUUUGAUUCCGGAGAGGGAGCCUGAGAAACGGCUACCAGGUCUAAGGACAGCAGCAGGCGCGAAACUUGCCCAAUUGGAGAGAGGCAGUUAUGAGACGUAUAUUUUGUAACCGGGGUAGAAUACCGGUGAUUGACUGGAGGGCAAGUCUGGUGCCAGCAGCCGCGGUAAUUCCAGCUCCAGGAGUGUCAUAGUGCAUUGCUGCAUUUAAAAGGUCCGUAGUCAGUGUUGACAGGGAUGCUAGAAGACACUUUCUUCAUGGAGUGUAUUGGCAUUCUAGGUUAGCAUGUAGGAGCGGAAGAGGGCGACUGUAUUGCGCAGCGAGAGGUGAAAGUUGACGACCUACGUAGGACAAACCGAAGCGAAAGCUGUCGUCCAGUACGUUUCCGGUGAUCAAGGACGUAAGCCGGAGGAGCAAAGGUGAUUAGAGACCCCUGUAGUUCCGGCCGUAAACUAUGCCAACUGGGUGUUACGUAGUGGUACCCACGAGAAAUCAAGUAUAUGGGCUAUGGGGAUAGUACGAUCGCAAGAUUGAAACUUGAAGAAAUUGACGGAAGGACACCACCAGGAGUGGAGUGUGCGGCUUAAUUUGACUCAACGCGGGACAACUUACCAGGGCCAGUUGUAUGACGAAUCUUUGAUGAGUACGACUAAGUGGUGCAUGGCCGUUCACAACAUGUGAGGUGACUUUUAGGUUUAUUGCUGUAAUGUGUGGGACCCUCAGCUACGGCGACUGGGGACUAUAAGUUUCAGGAAGGAGGGGGCUAUAACAGGUCUGUGAUGCCCUUAGAUGUUCUGGGCUGCACGCGCACUACAAUGUUAUUUCUAGGUAUAUUGUAAAGAUAAAGGAUAACUCGGUUGGGAUUGCGUUCUGUAAUGGACGCAUGAACCAGGAGUUCCUAGUAGUCGCGUGUCACUAACGGGCGACGACUGUGUCCCUGUUCUUUGUACACACCGCCCGUCACUAUAA
rnacentral:rRNA from 1 species